rnacentral:rRNA from 1 species
GUCCGUGAUUAUAGAGAGUUGGAAACGCCUUGACCCAUCCCGAACCAAGAAGCUAAGCAACUCAUCGCUGAUGAUACUCUCUCUUACUGAGAUGUGGGAAAGUAGGUCUUUGCGGACU